AGAACGAACGCUGGCGGCAGGCCUCAAACAUGCAAGUCUAGGGGGUGUAGCAAUACAUCACCGGCGGACGGGUGCGUAACGCGUGGGAAUGUACCUAUUGGUUCGGAACAACACAGGGAAACUUGUGCUAAUACCGGAUGAGCCCGAAAGGGGAAAGAUUUCUCGCCAAUAGAUCAGCCCGCGUCCGAUUAGCUAGUUGGUGGGGUUAAAGCCUACCAAGGCGACGAUCGGUAGCUUUCUGAGAGGAAGAUCAGCCACACUGGGACUGAGACACGGCCCAGACUCCUACGGGAGGCAGCAGUUGGGAAUCUUGGACAAUGGGGGAAACCCUGAUCCAGCCAUGCCGCGUGAGUGAUGAAGGCCUUCGGGUUGUAAAACUCUUUCGACGGGGACGAUAAUGACGGUACCCGUAGAAGAAGCUCCGGCUAACUUCGUGCCAGCAGCCGC
rnacentral:rRNA from 1 species